AGCAGUAGCCGCGGUAAUACGAAGGGGGCUAGCGUUGCUCGGAAUGACUGGGCGUAAAGGGCGCGUAGGCGGAUGGCACAGUCAGAUGUGAAAUUCCCGGGCUUAACCUGGGGGCUGCAUUUGAUACGUGUUGUCUAGAGUGAGGAAGAGGGUCGUGGAAUUCCCAGUGUAGAGGUGAAAUUCGUAGAUAUUGGGAAGAACACCGGUGGCGAAGGCGGCGACCUGGUCCUUUACUGACGCUGAGGCGCGAAAGCGUGGGGAGCAAACAGGAUUAGAUACCCCCGUAGUCCCUGUCUCUUAUAC
rnacentral:rRNA from 1 species